GGCGUUUAGCUCAGCUGGUUCAGAGCAUCUGCCUUACAAGCAGAGGGUCGGCGGUUCGAAUCCGUCAACGCCCA
rnacentral:tRNA from 5 species